UACGGAGGAUCCAAGCGUUAUCCGGAUUUAUUGGGUUUAAAGGGUGCGUAGGCGGCCUGUUAAGUUAGAGGUGAAAUCCCGUGGCUCAACCACGGAACUGCCUCUGAUACUGGCAGGCUAGAGAGUAGAUGCGGUAGGCGGAAUGUGUAGUGUAGCGGUGAAAUGCUUAGAGAUUACACAGAACACCGAUUGCGAAGGCAGCUUACCAAUCUAUAUCUGACGUUGAGGCACGAAAGCGUGGGGAGCAAACAGG
rnacentral:rRNA from 1 species